UACAGAGGUCCCAAGCGUUGUUCGGAUUCACUGGGCGUAAAGGGUGCGUAGGUGGUCGGGUAAGUUUAAGGUGAAAGCUCCGGGCUCAACCCGGAAAUGGCCUUGAAUACUAUCCGGCUCGAGGGUUGGAAGGGGGACUGGAAUUCUCGGUGUAGCAGUGAAAUGCGUAGAUAUCGAGAGGAACAUCAGUGGCGAAGGCGAGUCCCUGGACAACACCUGACGCUGAGGCGCGAAAGCUAGGGGAGCGAACGGG
rnacentral:rRNA from 1 species